UACAAGGUCAACUACAUUCCUGAGGACCCCAUUUUCAAAUCUUCAGCUCUACUGCAUGCUUCAAGAUCACCAAAGCUCCUCUAUGGUUAGGCAGYGGCUAUCUGUGGAGGAGAGAAGGAGAAGAAAUAGAAAUGGAAAAGGAGGAAAGUGAACAAGAGCCAAUGGAGGAAGAGUUAUUGAUCAAAUGUGGUCCUGCUGGGACUGGGACAGAUUCGUCUGCUGAUGUAGUUCAUUGUGGAGGUUGGCUUGCCGUCAUUUAUGACCAGAMCUGGUGGUUAGCAAAGGCUGUCACCGUGGAUGUUCAUCACCAAGAUGUGGAAGUGGAGUUUUUCCAUCCUCAUGGGCCCAACACACAAUUCUACCCAAAAAGAGGUGGAAAGGUGCUUCAAACCAUUUGACCACAUUCUGGUCAAACUUGUGGAACCAUCAUCGCCGGGUCGUGCAAGCAAGACAAGGGAGAUAUACAACCUGUCUGCUGAAGUCAUGGACUUCAUAGAAGAGAAACAUUUACACCAUAUUCUUCUUAAUGAAGUUAAAUGACUUGUGGRAUAAUGGUAAACAUUCAGGAGUUCAAAUAUAGAUUGUUUUGACGUGUUUUGAGGUAGAAUGCUUUCUGUAUUUUGAAACGUUUAAGUUUAUGCAAAAGAGACUAAGACAAAAGGUGUUCAUUUAUCUGUUCCUCAUGUACAGAUUUGUUCCUUACAUUCCUUAAAAACUGUUCAUGACAGUGCUCAGGAUUUGUUAUUUUUUGUACCAAAUACUUAAAUAAAGUUGUUAAGCAAGA